rnacentral:rRNA from 1 species
UGAGGAAUAUUGGUCAAUGGGCGGAAGCCUGAACCAGCCAUGCCGCGUGCAGGAAGACGGCUCUAUGAGUUGUAAACUGCUUUUGUACUAGGGUAAUAGCGGGUACGUGUACUCGUAUGAAAGUAUAGUACGAAUAAGGAUCGGCUAACUCCGUGCCAGCAGCCGCGGUAAUACGGAGGAUCCAAGCGUUAUCCGGAUUUAUUGGGUUUAAAGGGUGCGUAGGCGGCAGAUUAAGUUAGAGGUGAAAUCCCGUAGCUUAACUACGGAACUGCCUCUGAUACUGAUUUGCUAGCGAGUGGAUGCUGUAGGCGGAAUGUGUGGUGUAGCGGUGAAAUGCGUAGAUAUCACACAGAACACCGAUUGCGAAGGCAGCUUACAAAUCCAUAUCGGACGCUGAGGCACGAAAGCGUGGGGAGCAAACAGG